AAAACUGGAUACUACUAUGCCUUUUGUGAUAAAAGUUGUCCGCAAAACUGUAAGGGAGGUACUUGAAACCAGACCAACGGGCAUUGCAAAGAAUGCCAAGCUGGAUACUACGGUGUGUAUUGUGAUACAAUUUGUCCACACGACUGCGAUGACAACUUCUGUAUCCAGACCAAUGGAUACUGUGCAGGUCUUACAGACACCAUUAAUACUGCCGCAGUCGGGAUAGGUGUCGGAUGUGGAGUGGUCAUUUU